GGUGUGUAUGGGGCAGCGGGCGGGGGAGGACGGAGGGCGUGUGCGUUGUUCGGAAUUGUUGGGCGUAAAGAGGUCGUAGGGGGCUGGUGGCGUGUGUGGGGGAAGCAGACGGCUUAAACGUGGGGGUGCGGUGGAUACGGGCAGACUAGAGGCAGGUAGGGGAGAAUGGAAGUCCCGGUGGAGCGGUGAAAUGCGCAGAUAUCGGGAGGAACACCGGUGGCGAAGGCGGGUCUCUGGGCCUGUACUGACGCUGAGGAGCGAAAGCGUGGGGAGCGAACAGGAUUAGAUACCCUUGUAGUC
rnacentral:rRNA from 1 species